rnacentral:lncRNA from 1 species
GUUCAUUUGCAACACCUUUUUUUUUUUUAAUUUGUGUUCUUGGUGGUUUUUUUAAGUGAACUUUCCUUUACACACUUUCCCCGCUGUUAUUUUCUUUUAAAUUUAAUUCUCUUUAGCUUCACACUCCCUGCUUUCUAAGAACUUCUGCGUCAGUCAGAAAGGAGGAAGUGAAACCCAUUAAUUAGAUGAAUAAAGCAGAAUUAGUCCUGCCAGGAAACUGAGCUUCCCGCCUCCGCAGAAGCGCCCAGUGUCGGGUCCCUCCUGGAGCACCCACCAGUAAGUGGUCCUGGUAAGAAUUUGGGGCAGAACUCUACUUGUAAGGAUUUGGAGCCUGGUUGAAGCUUGUCAUCUGGGAUGCCUCGUGAACAGUGGAGAAAGGAGGUCUCUGCAGGAAGCACUCAUCCCGUUUAUCUCGGGUGCAUCAGGGUGGGAUAAAUCAUCUCCUGAUGGUGCCCAUCCUUCUCCAUAACUGGACAGCCUAUGUGGACUCUACAGACUAGAGAUCAAACAACUCCUCAGGGCAGCAGUAACUUACAGACCACAGCUUUUUUCUGACCAAGCCUAUCCCUGCUGACUGAAUGCUAGGAAUCACGACGGAGAAGAUUUCCUGGCUGUUAAAGCUUUAAGGCUAGACAAGGAAUAAAUGUAAGUCUCUGUGUCA